rnacentral:lncRNA from 1 species
AGAAAACGGGCUCACUGCAGCUAACAGCCUCACCCCUUGGGCUAGGAAGCCACGGAAGCAAAACCUCCGCCCCGGCCUGAAAGCAACCGGGAGACCGCGGAACCACUGCCACCGACUCAGCCCUGCCCAGCAGGGGCCCGCCCAGGGGCCACUCCCCAAGGGAGGCAGCCAGUCACUCGCCCGCCCUUCCGGGCCCACUCCCGAGGGGACGGUCUCCCGCCCGCCCUCACACACAGCUAGCUCUUCAGGCCAGGCCCCCAGGGUUUCGUCCACCUCUCACCUUUGACGACGCGAAUGAAGAAUGAGGAGGUGCUGCGAUCGAACGACUGCGAGGAAACACACCCGCUCUCAUGGCAUUCCCAGUAAACUGAGAAGACGUGAUUAAACCUCAGGAUCUCCUACUAAUAGAGAAAUGUAUAACGAUUUAGCUACCAGAUCUGAAUACUGAAGGGUUGGUAGGGGACCAGAGAAUAGAGGAAGCAUUGUAGGUUCUAGAGUGGAGAAGGGACCAUCCAAAAUGGAGUUUGAAAGAGAAUUCUGGCCUUUGUGUUUAGAGUCUGGAAUUGUCAAGAGUCUGAAAGCACAGAAUAAGACUGCAGCUAGAGCAAUUUAGGCGCCAUAGUUUGUCAAAACAGGUAAGGGGAAUAAAGGGGAUGACACCAAGAGAUGUGCAAAGAAUCUGAAGAAUUCACCUGAAAAGGAUACAACCUCCUCCUGGAAGGCAGAGGAGUAAAUAGGGAAUUGGAAAUUAAUUCCUUAUUUCUGCACAUGCACAGAAUCUGGGCCCAGGUGACUUAUGGAACCUUUAUAGAGACCACGGUGACUGACACUCAUGGGAAAGGGGGUAGAGGGGCAAGAACUGACUGUUCAUCAAAAAUUAUUAGAUGAGUGUGUCCACGACACCAGGAGAUAUGUUGAAUCAUGGACAGGGACCAGCAUAUCCACUAAGCUCUAUAUAUCUUGAUGGUGCAGGAUCCAAGUGGGAUGGAACAACCAAUUCCUGCCCAUCCUCCUGCUCAAUAAUACAUGUGCUCAGAAUCUGUUCAUAAUGCAUGGUGAGACGGGAUCUCACUGUGUUGCCCAGGCUGGUCUCGAACUGCUGGACUCAAGUCAUCCUCCCAUCUUGGCCUCCCAAAGUGCUGGAAUUACAGUGGACAACCUUCAAUGCACUGGUACUUUGUACCCUGACCUCUACUGUGAUGAACACUCAACUUGGGCAAGGAAGUGAAAUUCUCCAAAGGAAUUAUUAAGAUAAGGACCAGCAGUACAAUGAGCUUUUCACUGUAUGUCUGACCUGAAAGAAGAAAAUCUUUUCAGAGGACUCCUCUCUCCCCUUCAGUCGCCAAGACAAUGAGAGCUCUUGCUACAGAAUACUCAUGGUCAUUUCUUCCCCUGGCAUUCAUAAACUAACAUGGUUCCCAAGCACUACCUUGUUGGCUGAGAGAGAGUCCCCGCCUGUGUUGGGAGGCAGGCUGAGGGCUGCGACGGCUGCUGUGGUGAUUGCUGCUGCUGCAUGCGAUCCUGCAGGCUCCGUGCUUUUCGAAUACUGAUUUGCAACUUCUUAUCGACUAGGGCUCUGCUGUGCGUGCUACAGCUGGCACCAUGCAGGGCAAGUCUUAGUUUAGCUAAAAUGCAAAAGAAAAUAUAGCAGAAACAGAACACAAAACACAAAUAAAAAUAAAAAGAAUAAAAUUGAAAAAAAA